rnacentral:lncRNA from 1 species
AUUUUCAGCCAGAGCCACAUCAAAAAGUCGACUGACGUCAAAGUUUACCAAAUUCUUGUGCAUAAAAUCAACGUCAAUUAGCAAAGUCCGAGAAGAAUCAACUAUCAGACGGUAUGUGAAAUCUUUUAAAUACCCUCACCUAAGCUCUCAGUGCAAAAUAAAGUUCUAGUCUCAAAAGAAGAGCCUGGCAAAAGUUUCUUUCGCAAACAAAACUUUGAAAAUGUAUUUAAACUUCAGAGCGAAAAACUUAGGCUUGUUCCUCUCCACUCGUAUUAAUUAGCAAAUUCAUUAAACAUGAAUUUCUCCAACCACUGGCCUGCUUUUCAAUAUGACCCAGUUUAAAAAAAAAAUAUAAAACAAACCGAAUUUUGUCACUAGAACUUUAGUCCAUUUUGUGUCACUAUGAAGCCAAUCUGCGGUUUGUAGCUGCAGUACUUUUGACUACCAAAAUUGUACAAUUACUGACUUUUUUUGCAGCUGCAACUGUCAGUCUUUUAGUAUGGAUUUCAUUGAUAAGAAACGGCCAUGCGGUGGAUGAGCCUCCGCUGUCUGUGCUGAGAGCUGAAGGAGAUGAUGGAAAACCUCCACUGAUCGUGUUGACGAGUUCCAUAACAAUGCCAGUGCCAACGGAGGGAGUCAAAUAUGAAGCAACGGAGCCAGGAACCAACAGCGAUGUUACAGCUGUUCCAGAGACACCACAACUACCCACACGGGCGCCUCACAAGAAGAAGCCGCCACCCAACGGCCCUCAGGCCCCACUCUUGUCAAUGCCUGAAAUGUGGAACAGUUUUCCGCUGUCAAAUGCUGCUGCAAGGCCAGUUCCAGUACCACCCUCUGCGAUCCCGUUUUACUACCCGCUGCCUGUAUAUAUUCCAUAUCCGAUUCCAUUUGUGCUGAACUAUGCCCCGGAGGACCAAAGCGGAGUGCAAUUCAAUGAACUACUGCCUGAGCAGCUCAGCAAAGAAC